rnacentral:rRNA from 1 species
UACGUAGGUGGCAAGCGUUGUCCGGAUUUAUUGGGCGUAAAGCGCGCGCAGGCGGCUAUGUAAGUCUGGUGUUAAAGCCCGGAGCUCAACUCCGGUUCGCAUCGGAAACUGUGUAGCUUGAGUGCAGAAGAGGAAAGCGGUAUUCCACGUGUAGCGGUGAAAUGCGUAGAGAUGUGGAGGAACACCAGUGGCGAAGGCGACUUUCUGGUCUGUAACUGACACUGAGGCGCGAAAGCGUGGGGAGCAAACAGGG